rnacentral:rRNA from 1 species
UACGUAGGGGGCAAGCGUUGUCCGGAUUUCUUGGGCGUAAAGAGCGUGUAGGCGGCCAUACAGGUCAGCUGUGAAAACUCGAGGCUCAACCUCGAGACGUCGGUUGAAACCGUGUGGCUAGAGUCCGGAAGAGGAGAGUGGAAUUCCCGGUGUAGCGGUGAAAUGCGCAGAUAUCGGGAAGAACACCCGUGGCGAAGGCGGCUCUCUGGGACGGUACUGACGCUGAGACGCGAAAGCGUGGGGAGCGAACAGG